rnacentral:rRNA from 1 species
CCAGACUCCUACGGGAGGCAGCAGUGGGGAAUAUUGGGCAAUGGGCGCAAGCCUGACCCAGCAACGCCGCGUGAAGGAAGAAGGCUUUCGGGUUGUAAACUUCUUUUGUCAGGGACGAAGCAAGUGACGGUACCUGACGAAUAAGCCACGGCUAACUACGUGCCAGCAGCCGCGGUAAUACGUAGGUGGCAAGCGUUAUCCGGAUUUAUUGGGUGUAAAGGGCGUGUAGGCGGGAAUGCAAGUCAGAUGUGAAAACUAGGGGCUCAACCCAUAGCCUGCAUUUGAAACUGUAUUUCUUGAGUGCUGGAGAGGCAAGCGGAAUUCCGUGUGUAGCGGUGAAAUGCGUAGAUAUCAGGAGGAACACCGGCGGCGAAGGCGGCCUGCUGGACCGUGACUGACGUUGAGGCUCGAGAGCGUGGGGAGCAAACAGGAUUAGAUACCCCUGUA